GAGUCAAGCAGCCCAUGAUGUCAUAAGGAAUUCCUUGUCGUAAGGGACGUCUCCCAAGGAGAGCAUUUGCUCUGCUGGAAAACAGCCAUCCGCCCACAUGUGCCUUCCCCACCCAGCUACUCUGUCCAAAUAACCAAACCGAAGGGAGUGCUUUGAUUAAUCGGAGUGAUCUCAAAGAAAAAUGCUCAAGGGGAAUUCAGGGACCAGAGAUUUAAUGGUUGCAGUUUUAUAGUCUUUAUCAGACCAUCAAGGCUGUAAUAGAAAGAUAGGAGUUAUCAUCUCCAAACGUUUUGUCAUCUCGAUCAACCUUCGAGGGAAAAUCAUCGCAAGAGAGCCUCUGAGGCUCGUUGACAUGACUGAUAACGGGAGGCCAUCAUGGGGCAAAAGCCAUGUUCCUCCAGACACCUUCCAAAUGGACCAAGUCACGCUGAAGGUCGUGUUCAGAAAGCUUCAACCGGUUGUUUUCCAAUCCUCGCUAAUAUUUUGGGUCAACAGUCAUGUCUGUCAAACCCUUCCUAUAGCACUUGCAAGCCUGAAAUACUUUUUACAAUGUUAAUGAGGAUGGGAGAGGACUUUUCCUGUCCUAGGAACAGGCUUUGCAUAAUAGUUUUCUUCUGUCCAUGUAAGAUCUGUUCUGCCGAUGGGGUGGAAAGAAAAAGGCCCCUGCAAAAGCAGUGCUUGGAGUUUGCUGCUUUCUAUACACGCAUCCCAGUGGCGAAUGACUUCCCUCCCAAUGAAAGCUCAUGGUGAAAGAAGACAGCAACAAAAGCACCAAGGUAAUCUAGAGGCCAUGAGGGAAACAUUCCUUCUUCCGGGAGGCCUAUCUAAAUCCCCGCUGAAACACAGCAUAUCAUGUUUUAAUCCCCAAAGGUUUCCUGCACCAUGUUAUUUGCUCAGGCUGUUCAUUUCCCACCCACAAGAAGACAGAACAGCAACACGGGUUGCUGCUCUUGUGUAGCUGUGUGACUUUUCCCAAGAGUUAGGAGAUUUUGCCUGUGACCAACUUCCCACUCGGUUAACACCUCCUUAUCUGAAGGCCAGGCACUUGCAGAGGCGGGGAGCAAGGCUGCGAAGCUCAGCGCUGCCCCGAGUGUGUGCUCCUGCGCUCCGUUGCCUCCGAGGGAUUAUUUAAUGGCUUGUUUCCCAAGGGGAUUAAGCUGAACCUGAUAAAGGCGCUAUCAGCAUCCACCCAUGCAGACAUUGAUAAGUAUAUAUUCCAUCAGAGCUGCCCUUCGUUUCUUUUCCAAGUUAGACAAGCUCCAGAGCAGGGAUUUCUGAAAGCAUC